GGAAGCGGGAAAAGCCCACAUUGGUAAUCUCCGGGGACAACCUCGGCGAAUUGUAAUCUGAAGAUAGCUGGCCUAAUUGGGAGAGUCGCAGAAGUGUCCACGAGCGGACCGCCAAAGAGGGUGAGAGCCCCGUCUGUGGUGACGCUUCCUACCGGGCUGGUCAUCGAAGAGUCGCGUACUUUGAUACUAGUGCGCAAAGCGGGAGAUAAACUUCUUCUAAGGCUAAAUACAUGUAGGAAACCGAUAGCGAACAAGUACUGUGAAGGAAAGAUGAAAAGCACUUUGGAAAGAGAGUUAAAAGACUUGAAAUCGUUGAGGCGGAAGCGGUAGAAAUGAAUUCUACAGCGGGGCCCUGUGAAUCUGCCUAAGCUUAGCGGAAGCGGAGAAAUCGGGCGCCGUAGUGAGACAAGAUGGAGUCGCACGAUGCCAGAAGCGGCGCAGAACGGGGCAACUCUGUCUGUGCUGGCGGGGUGUCGAGCGGCUUGAGGGGCUUUGUGCGAUCUUGUCAAAAUGGUUUUUACCGACUCGUCUUGAAACACGAACCAAGGAGUCUAAGACUAACGCGAGUAUGGUGGUGGAGAAACCAACAUGCGAAAUGAAAGUGAAUGAUGCCAAGCUCUGCAGCAGCAUCGACCGACCAUGACCCACUGGGAAAGGUUUGAGUAAGAGCGUUAUUCUUAGGACCCGAAAGAUGGUGAAACUAU
rnacentral:rRNA from 1 species